rnacentral:rRNA from 6 species
GACACGACUCUCGACAAUGGAUAUCUCGGCUCUCGCAUCGAUGAAGAGCGCAGCGAAAUGCGAUACGUGGUGCGAAUUGCAGAAUCCCGCGAAC